AGACGUUGAAAAAAAUUGAAAGAGAAAGCAAGCGGUGAGAGUGGUGAAAUAGUAGAGGACCGUUAAUGGGCAUAUCUCUUCCUCCUUGCCUUUGCUUCGUGCGCGGAGAAAAAGAUGAGAAACGCUCGAGAACAUUGAACGCAGUGGAUGAAAAAAGAAGAAACGGAAUGAAAAGAAAACGGGUUGGUCAGGCAAACGAACCAUCGUCAACGGAACUCGUUCGUCACAUUUCUUUUUUCUUUUCUCUUUUUUUCGUGCAAUGGUGUUUGUUCCUUCGCAAUAGGAAAAACAAGAACAAAAUAAAAAUGAUUGCAAGAUA